AAAAUGUUCAAGCUCUUGAUAUUCGUUUGCUUGCAAUUCUUGUUAAUUUCUUUAGUAACAAAGGCUGAAGGUCAAAGCUGCCACCUUAUUGGAAUAUGUCAAAAAAGUUGUGAAGUGGAAAUUGGCGCGACCAAACCCUGUCCAUCAACUACAAAAUGUUGUUUGGGAUUGGGACAGAAAUAAAAUUGACGAAGUUUAAUCGAAUUUUUGGAAAUAUUUAUAGCAUGUCAAGUAACAGUGGAUCAGUUAAAAUAUGUGACGACGUUGGAAAAUGGAAGAGUACAAGACUAACGUCCUAAUAAACAAUUCUUUACGAAUUACUACUACAGACAAAGUUAGCUAAAAAGUAAAUUAAUUGUAAUGAAUUUUAAAUAAAAUUUCAACAACAAUUAUUAAGUACAUUGAUAAUCUUUUUAAAAAUCUUUCUGAACAAGUGUCGAAUCAUUUUUGUUUAUAAAGGCAGACAGAUGCACUAAAAAUUCAGUAGUUCUAUCACCACAAUGAAAGCGACUUACACUG